GCUUCAGAUCGCACCUCACCUGCCCGCGACAACAUUCUGCCUGUGCCACCAUGAAGCUGACUGUCCUCUUUGUUGUGGCUAUGGCCCUGUAUGGCCUUGGUUCGGCUCGCGCCAUUCCCAAGCUUUCCACCGUGGCCGACCUUCUUCCGUGGACAGUCCUUUCUCCGUGGCCAACCGUUCUUCCGUGGCCAACCCUUUCUUCGUUGCGAGACCUUCCGCGGCCAACCCUUAUUCCGUGGCCGAAUCUCAUCCCGGUGGACGACCCUUAGGUGUGCCUUCUUCUGAGCCUGAGAAUCCACACCUCUUGGGAGACUGUAUUUGUAUUAUAAUAUGUAUAAAUUGUUAACUUGCUGUCAAUGCUGUAGUUGAAAAACGACCCAUGUCUAAGACUUAUACAAAUGAAAUCAAAUAUCUUAUUAGCAUAGAAAAUCAAGAAAUGGACAGGAGAUGCAAGUAGAGAGAAAACAGAUAUCCAAAUAUGGAACAUCAGUAAGAGCAAUAAAGUAUAAAUCAACCUUGGAAAUCUACACAAACCUGCAAAUGAUACGAAACGGAUGCAGGAAUACUCACUGAAUUAAACUGCAACAAUAAGCCUAUUUGGAAAA